rnacentral:rRNA from 1 species
CGAAUACCGGGAAGAACUGAUCGGGAGACACACGGCGGGUGCUAACGUCCGUCGUGGAGAGGGAAAGAGCCCAGACCUCCAGCUAAGGUCCCAAAGUGCGUGUUAAGUGGAAAAGGAUGUGGGAUUUCGAAGACAACCAGGAUGUUGGCUCAGAAGCAGCCAUACAUUCAAAGAGUGCGUAAUAGCUCACUGGUCGAGAGGUCCUGCGCCGAAAAUGUCCGGGGCUGAAACACGACACCGAAGCUGAGGAAUCACGCAAGUGAUUGGUAGAGGAGCAUUGCAUAAGGGAAGAAGCAGUACCGGAAGGUCGACGCGGCCG